GAGAAAUUAGUUAAAUUAUAACAUUAGUAUGUCAUACUAAAAUUAUUAAAUGAUUAAUAUUCCUCU
rnacentral:tRNA from 1 species